rnacentral:tRNA from 1 species
GUAGAUAUAGUUUAAACAAAACAUUAGAUUGUGAUUCUAAAGAUAGAGGUUAAAAUCCCCUUAUCCACC